CACGUAGGGUGCGAGCGUUGUCCGGAAUUAUUGGGCGUAAAGAGCUCGUAGGCGGUGUGUCGCGUCGGCCGUGAAAACCUGCAGCUCAACUGCAGGCUUGCGGUCGAUACGGGCAGGCUAGAGUUCGGUAGGGGAGACUGGAAUUCCUGGUGUAGCGGUGAAAUGCGCAGAUAUCAGGAGGAACACCGGUGGCGAAGGCGGGUCUCUGGGCCGAUACUGACGCUGAGGAGCGAAAGCGUGGGGAGCGAACAGG
rnacentral:rRNA from 1 species